CUGAGCAGCUCUGGUUGGCCAACUGUGUAGAGGUUUCAAAGACUAUGACUUUCAGACAGGCAGACUCUCUCCGUUGCCUUCUCAUCUUGCCUGCUUUGCUGAAGCAAGCUGCCAAACUGGAGAGGCCUAAAGUGGCAAGAAACUGAAUGUGGUCUCUGGCCAACUGCCAGAGGGGAACUGAGGCCCUCAGUCCAACAAGCUGUGAGGAACUGAAUCCAGCCAACAACCACGUGAACUUGGAGUGGAUCCUUCUCUAGUCAAGUCUUGAGAUAAACACAUCCCAGUCAAGAUGCUGAUGACAGCCUAUGGGAAAACCUAAAGCAGAGGACCCAGCUAAGCCACGCCCAGAUCCCUAACCCACACAAACUGUGAGAUGAUAAAUGUGUACUGUUUUAAGCUGCUGAGGUUUGAGGAAAUUUAUUAUGCAGCAAUAGAUAGUAGAUAACUAAUACAGUCUGUUACUAUACUUUGAAACUGUUCUGAUCACUCUUGGUAAAAAAAAAAAGGAAAUAUCUGAUAAACUUAUUCAUACUACAGCAUUUGGGAACUCAAGAUGUGACCCCUGUUGGAAUAAUGUCCUCAGAGGGAAGGUAAUGCCAACACCAUAGAGUGCAUGAAUAAUGGCAGAAUUUUAGGAUUUGGGGCGAAUAAUGG
rnacentral:lncRNA from 1 species